rnacentral:ncRNA from 1 species
ACCCCUGUGAGAAUGCCCUAGUUUCCUGCUUGGGAACAAGGAGCUGGUAUCAGGCACAACCUCUUCGUAAGCCCAUGACACCUUGCUUAGCCACACCCCCAAGGGAAUUCAGCAGUGAUAAACAUUAAGCCAUGAGUGAAAACUCGACUUAGUUAAAGCUAAAAGGGCCGGUAAAACUCGUGCCAGCCACCGCGGUUAUACGAGAGGCCCAAGUUGAUAAGCAUCGGCGUAAAGAGUGGUUAAGACGAACCGAAAACUAAAGCCGAACACCCUCACAGCUGUUAUACGCAAACACGAGAGUCAGAAGCUCACCUACGAAAGUGGCUUUAUUACAUCUGAACCCACGAAAGCUAAGGUACAAACUGGGAUUAGAUACCCCACUAUGCCUAGCCCUAAAUAUUGAUAGAGAACUACACCCCCUAUCCGCCCGGGUACUACGAGUGUCAACUUAAAACCCAAAGGACUUGGCGGUGCUUUAGAUCCACCUAGAGGAGCCUGUUCUAGAACCGAUAACCCCCGUUCAACCUCACCCUUCCUUGUUCCUCCCGCCUAUAUACCGCCGUCGUCAGCUUACCCUGUGAAGGCCUUACAGUAAGCAAAAUUGGCUAACCCCAAAACGCCAGGUCGAGGUGUAGCGCAUGGAAGGGGAAGAAAUGGGCUACAUUCACUAUGUCAGUGAAUACGGACAAUGCAUUGAAAUAUGCAAUUGAAGGAGGAUUUAGCAGUAAGUGGAAAGCAGAGUGUCCCACUGAAAACGGCCCUGAAGCGCGCACACACCGCCCGUCACUCUCCCCGAGCCCCACAAUACCCCAAUUUCUAAAACCUUUUUUUGCAAAAGGGGAGGCAAGUCGUAACAUGGUAAGUGUACCGGAAGGUGUACUUGGAAAAUA